rnacentral:rRNA from 1 species
AUGCCCGCGCCCAAGCUCAGGCUCGAGGCGUACCGCCUGGACGACAUGCGGCUCGAUUUCCUGCCCUUGUACGGGCGAGGCGGCGGCGGCGACAGCAGCGGCGCGAUCCUCUCCGUCGACUCGGCAGGCCACACCAUCCUCUGCGACGCGAGCUCGGGCUGCGUCCAGCCUGCCCCCAGCCUCGGCGAGCCCAAGGGGGACAGCCCCAUCUCGUUCACCAUCGCUCGCGCCGGCGGCCCCGACCCCCGCGUCGCCGUGGCUCUGUACGUCAUGGACAGGUUCCCCACCGGCCGCAGCUCCUGCAGCUUCGAGUCCCUCGCCUACGGCGAGAACAGCUGCUGGGAGUGGAGCCGGCUCCCGCCGCCGCCCUACGUCAACGACCCGGCCUACGACUGCACCGCUAUCCACUCCUACACGCUGCUCAAUGCAGGCUCCACCAUCUGCGUAUCCUCCUCCGGGCGCAGCCCCGUCGGGACCUACUGCUUCGACACGGCUAGCCGCCAGUGGAGGAAGGCUGGCCGCUGGGCGCUGCCCUUCUGCGGCAGGGCCGAGCAUGUCCCCGAGCUUGGCAACCUCUGGUUCGGCAUGGCUGACAGCAGCCCCAACAACCUGUGCGCGUCGGACCUCUCCAGCCUCGACGACGGGGCUCCCAGGAUGCUACGCGAGUGGCAAGUCCUAGACCCGCCUCGGGGCUGGGUGCAAAUAAGGGGCUGCCUGCUCUACCUGGGAGCCGGCAGGUUUUGCAUCAACAAAGUUUUCGACAUUGGGGACGAGGGCAGGACCAAGAGUGACAAGCAGGCUGCUGUCAUCACCGGUGUGGAGGUGGUACAUGAUGAAACAGCCCAACUCCAGAUGAUCAAGCACAAGUCCUGUGUCAGCUAUGCAGGCAUCCAGUGUAUCCUUUAG